AAUCUAGAAUCUUCAGUUGUCUUCUUUGUGUCUUCAUUGCAGACACCAGCGAAGACUCUGACGAGACCUUUCAUAGAAACGGCGAUGACAAAAGAACGAGGAGCUUGAGGACAUCCACCUAGGAACUUAAUCUCUCAUAAGUGCCAUGGAUUCAUCCUCUUUGAAUACUUCUUCAGCUCCAAGGUGAAGAUCGAUUAUUGUUAAAUAUGGUUGAGCUCCAAAGAACUAAUACCACUGCCUCAGACCCAUGGAUCUGGAAUAACAUCAAUCAUCAAGAUGCUGGCUUGAUCUGGAUUUCCUUCUCAUUAUCAACUACUUCUCUUGGUUGCUGCUAAUAUAGGGUUUCACUAGUCUUAGCCUGAUCAGAUUUCUCACCUCUUGUUUUAUUAUGUAUUGUACUAAUUGUUCCUUCUUUAUUGAUGUUACUGCAUGUUGAUCCAUUACCCUUCCCUUGAUAGUUACCAAAUUCUUGUGAUAUCCACUCCUUUGUGGAGGAGUGGUGCUGACACCCUUCCCUCAUCGACUCAAGUAUGAUAGAACCCUUCAUUGUGUUAGUAUAUUUCUUUUCCU